rnacentral:rRNA from 1 species
UACGAAGGGUGCGAGCGUUAUUCGGAAUUAUUGGGCGUAAAGGGUGCGCAGGCGGUAUUUUAAGUCAAUUGUCUAAUUUCCCAGCCUAACUGGGAGCCGGCAGUAGAUACUAUUAUACUUGAGGAUGGAAGAGAGAAGUGGAAUUCUCGGAGUAGCGGUAAAAUGCGUAGAUCUCGAGAGGAACACCGAUGGCGAAGGCAGCUUCUUGGUCCAUAUCUGACGCUCAUGCACGAAAGCGUGGGGAGCAAACAGG